rnacentral:tRNA from 1 species
CGGGGAUUAGCGCAGUCUGGUAGCGCACCUGCUUUGGGAGCAGGGGGUCGGAGGUUCGAAUCCUCCAUCCCCGACCA